rnacentral:rRNA from 1 species
GUUAGGAAUAUUGGACAAUGGGCGCAAGCCUGAUCCAGCCAUGCCGCGUGAGUGAUGAAGGCCUUCGGGUUGUAAAGCUCUUUAGCCGAUGAUUAUAAUGACUGUAGUCGGAAAAUAAGCCCCGGCUAACUUCGUGCCAGCAGCCGCGGUAAUACGAAGGGGGCGAGCGUUAUUCGGAAUCACUGGGCGUAAAGCGUGCGUAGGCGGCUUUGCAAGUUGGGAGUGAAAGCCAAGGGCUCAACCCUGGAAUUGCUCUCAAAACUGCAAGGCUCGAAUUCGGGAGAGGAUAGCGGAAUUGUCAGUGUAGCAGUGAAAUGCGUAGAUAUUGACAGGAACACCAGUGGCGUAAGCGGCUAUCUGGACCGAUAUUGACGCUGAGGCACGAAAGCGUGGGGAUCAAACAGGAUUAGAAACCCGAGUAGUCC